rnacentral:snRNA from 1 species
GUGUUCUCUUAUGAGACACAUAAACUAAAAUUGGAAAAAUACAGAGAAGAUUAGCAUGGCCCCUGCGCAAGGAUGACACGCAAAACUUGAGAUGGAUCAGAGGCUUGC